rnacentral:tRNA from 1 species
GGAGCCGUGGGAGAGUGGUCUAAUCUACCUCUUUGCUAAAGAGGCAGGGGGUAAAACCCCUCGAGGGUUCGAAUCCCUCCGGCUCCG